GUAGGUGGCGAGCGUUAUCCGGAUUUACUGGGCGUAAAGCGCGUGCAGGCGGUUCCGUAAGUCGGACGUGAAAGCUCCUGGCUUAACUGGGAGAGGCCGUUCGAUACUGCGGGACUUGAGGUCGGGAGAGGGACGUGGAAUUCCCGGUGUAGUGGUGGAAUGCGUAGAUAUCGGGAGGAACACCAGUGGCGAAGGCGGCGUCCUGGCCCGCACCUGACGCUAAGACGCGAAAGCGUGGGUAGCGAACGGGAUUAGAUACCCCGGUAGUCCACGCCGUAAACGGUGGAUACUAGGUGUUGGUGGCUAUCGUCAUCAGUGCCGUAGCUAACGCGUUAAGUAUCCCGCCUGGGGACUACGGCCGCAAGGCUA
rnacentral:rRNA from 1 species